AGAUUGAACGCUGGCGGCAUGCCUAACACAUGCAAGUCGAACGGGAGUAGCAAUACUCUAGUGGCGGACGGGUGAGGAAUACGUAGGAAUUUGCCCUUAAGUGGGGGAUAACCCGGGGAAACCCGGAUUAAUACCGCAUGACCUCGAAAGAGCAAAGUGGGGGAUCGCAAGACCUCACGCUUUUGGAGAAGCCUACGUCGGAUUAGCUAGUUGGUGAGGUAAUGGCUCACCAAGGCGACGAUCCGUAACUGGUCUGAGAGGAUGAUCAGUCACACCGGAACUGAGACACGGUCCGGACUCCUACGGGAGGCAGCAGUGGGGAAUAUUGGACAAUGGGCGCAAGCCUGAUCCAGCAAUGCCGCGUGCGUGAAGAAGGCCUCGGUGUAAG
rnacentral:rRNA from 1 species